rnacentral:rRNA from 1 species
AUGCAUGCGCGUGCUAUACAUGCAGUCGUGCGGACCUUUUAAAAGCUUGCUUUUAAAAGGUUAGCGGCGGACGGGUGAGUAACACGUGGGCAACCUGCCUGUAAGAUCGGGAUAACGCCGGGAAACCGGGGCUAAUACCGGAUAGUUUUUUCCUCCGCAUGGAGGAAAAAGGAAAGACGGCUUUUGCUGUCACUUACAGAUGGGCCCGCGGCGCAUUAGCUAGUUGGUGGGGUAACGGCUCACCAAGGCAACGAUGCGUAGCCGACCUGAGAGGGUGAUCGGCCACAUUGGGACUGAGACACGGCCCAAACUCCUACGGGAGGCAGCAGUAGGGAAUCUUCCGCAAUGGACGAAAGUCUGACGGAGCAACGCCGCGUGAGUGAAGAAGGCCUUCGGGUCGUAAAACUCUGUUGCCGGGGAAGAACAAGUGCCGUUCGAACAGGGCGGCGCCUUGACGGUACCCGGCCAGAAAGCCACGGCUAACUACGUGCCAGCAGCCGCGGUAAUACGUAGGUGGCAAGCGUUGUCCGGAAUUAUUGGGCGUAAAGCGCGCGCAGGCGGCUUCUUAAGUCUGAUGUGAAAUCUUGCGGCUCAACCGCAAGCGGUCAUUGGAAACUGGGAGGCUUGAGUGCAGAAGAGGAGAGUGGAAUUCCACGUGUAGCGGUGAAAUGCGUAGAGAUGUGGAGGAACACCAGUGGCGAAGGCGGCUCUCUGGUCUGUAACUGACGCUGAGGCGCGAAAGCGUGGGGAGCAAACAGGAUUAGAUACCCUGGUAGUCCACGCCGUAAACGAUGAGUGCUAAGUGUUAGAGGGUUUCCGCCCUUUAGUGCUGCAGCUAACGCAUUAAGCACUCCGCCUGGGGAGUACGGCCGCAAGGCUGAAACUCAAAGGAAUUGACGGGGGCCCGCACAAGCGGUGGAGCAUGUGGUUUAAUUCGAA